rnacentral:snRNA from 1 species
AUACUGUUAACGCAGUACAUAUACUAAAAUUGGAACUAUACAGAGAAGAUUAGCAU